rnacentral:rRNA from 1 species
UUAUGGCUCAGGAUGAACGCUAGCGACAGGCUUAACACAUGCAAGUCGAGGGGCAUCACGGGAGUAGCAAUACAACUGGUGGCGACCGGCGCACGGGUGAGUAACGCGUAUGCAACCUACCUAUCAGAGGGGAAUAACCCGGCGAAAGUCGGACUAAUACCGCAUAAAACAGGGGCACCGCAUGGUGAUAUUUGUUAAAGAAAUUCGCUGAUAGAUGGGCAUGCGUUCCAUUAGGUAGUUGGUGAGGUAACGGCUCACCAAGCCGACGAUGGAUAGGGGAACUGAGAGGUUGGUCCCCCACACUGGUACUGAGACACGGACCAGACUCCUACGGGAGGCAGCAGUGAGGAAUAUUGGUCAAUGGGCGGGAGCCUGAACCAGCCAAGUCCGCGUGAAGGAAGAAGGAUCUAUGGUUCGUAAACUUCUUUUGCAGGGGAAUAAAGUGCAGGACGUGUCCUGUUUUGUAUGUACCCUGAGAAUAAGGAUCGGCUAACUCCGUGCCAGCCGCCGC